rnacentral:rRNA from 1 species
UUAUGUUAUUUAUUUAAAUUUAUAUUUAAAAAGUUUUAUUCUAACUUAAUAAUUAGCUUUUAAGAAUUGUAUAUAUGGAAAGAAUAGUUUUUAAAUAAAUUGGUUUUUUCAGUGUAAAGUUUUUUGAAUUUAAGUAAUUUUAGAUCUAGAAAUUUUUUAUUUAAGGUAAACAAAAUUUGUGCCAGCAGUAGCGGUUAUACAGAUUAUUUAAGUUAAUUUUCUUUAAUUUAAUUAAUUGUGCAAGUAAAUUUAAAAAUAAAUUUUUAAGGUGAAAUUUAAAAUUUAUGUAAAAAUUAAGAUUUUUGAUUUUUGAGUUUUAAGAAAUUUUUAUUUGAAACUAGGAUUAGAUACCCUAUUAUUAAAAAUGUGAAUUUAUAUAAUUAAAGUUAUUAAUAGUUAUGGUCUUUAAAAUUUAAGAUUUUGGUAGUAUUUUAGUCUAUUUAGAGGAACCUGUUUAAUAAUCGAUUCUCCACGGUUAAAUUGACUUUUUAUUUAAAUUUGUAUAUCGUCGUAGUGAAAUAUUUUAUUAGGAAAUAAAUAUUUAAAUUUUAGAAUGAAAAAAGAAAUCAGAUCAAGGUACAGUUUAUUAAAAUGAAUAAGUGGGUUACAAUUAAUUUAUUAAUUUUGAAUUAUAGAGUUAAUUUUUUAUUUGAAAUUGGAUUUAAAAGUAAUUUUUUUUAAUUUAAAAAAAAUGAUUUUGCUCUAAAAUAUGCACAUAUUGCCCGUCGCUUUCAGUUUAAAUUGAAAUAAGUCGUAACAAAGUAGGUUUAUUGGAAAAUGAACCUAGAAAU